UGCGUCUCCUUUAAAAAACAUUCUGCUCCUCUGGUGGAGAGAAGUUCGCUCCUCCAGCUUGUGGCGCACUUAGGUUCUCUUCAUUUUCAUCAUGAUUCUGAUAUAAAAGCGCCGUUCUGACUCCAGAGAGCAGAGUGAAGUCUCCGUGUCUCCAGGAUCUCUGCUCCAUCUGACUGGUCCACAGGAAGAAAUUGACAAGAUGUCUGGUGUGGAUGAAGAGGAGGGAAGAUCAGAUGUGGACAGACACACAGCAGAGUCUUCAGGUUCCAGCAGGUUGUCUCUGAAGAGUGACUGGUCCAAACAUCUUCCACCAGACUUCAGUGAUGAACCUGGACCUUCAGACACAAAAAAGAGGAGGACUGAUGUCUGUGAGGAGCAGCCAGAAAGAUCCAGAAGU